AUUGAACGCUGGCGGCAUGCCUUACACAUGCAAGUCGAACGGCAGCGCGGGGCAACCUGGCGGCGAGUGGCGAACGGGUGAGUAAUAUAUCGGAACAUACCCUAGAGUGGGGGAUAACGUAGCGAAAGUUACGCUAAUACCGCAUACGCACUAAGGUGGAAAGUGGGGGAUCUUCGGACCUCAUGCUCAUGGAGUGGCCGAUAUCUGAUUAGCUAGUUGGUGAGGUAAAGGCUCACCAAGGCGACGAUCAGUAGCUGGUUUGAGAGAACGACCAGCCACACUGGAACUGAGACACGGUCCAGACUCCUACGGGAGGCAGCAGUGGGGAAUUUUGGACAAUGGGGGCAACCCUGAUCCAGCAAUGCCG
rnacentral:rRNA from 1 species